GACGAACGCUGGCGGCGUGCUUAACACAUGCAAGACGAGCGAUGAAAGCCUUAUGAACUAUUCGUAGUGAUUGGGGCAGGAUUAGCGGCGGACGGGUGAGUAACGCGUGAGCAACCUGCCUUAAACAACGGGAUAGCCUCGGGAAACCGGGAUUAAUACCGUAUGAGACCACGCCGACACAUGGAGAAGCGGUUAAAGAAUUAUCGGUGUAGGAUGGGCUUGAGUCUGAUUAGCUAGUUGGUGAGAUAAAAGCCCACCAAGGCAACGAUCAGUAACCGGCUUGAGAGAGUGAACGGUCACAUUGGAACUGAGACACGGUCCAAACUCCUACGGGAGGCAGCAGUGGGGAAUAUUGCACAAUGGGGGAAACCCUGAUGCAGCGACGCCGCGUGAGCGAUGAAGGAAUUCGUUUCGUAAAGCUCUGUCCAAGGGGAAGAUAAUGACAGUACCCUUGGAGGAAGCCCCGGCUAAAUACGUGCCAGCCGCCGCUGUAAGAC
rnacentral:rRNA from 1 species